rnacentral:rRNA from 1 species
GAUGAACGCUGGCGGCGUGCCUAAUACAUGCAAGUCGAGCGAACAGACUAGGAGCUUGCUCCUCUGACGUUAGCGGCGGACGGGUGAGUAACACGUGGAUAACCUACCUAUAAGACUGGGAUAACUUCGGGAAACCGGAGCUAAUACCGGAUAAUAUAUUGAACCGCAUGGUUCAAUAGUGAAAGACGGUUUUGCUGUCACUUAUAGAUGGAUCCGCGCCGCAUUAGCUAGUUGGUAAGGUAACGGCUUACCAAGGCGACGAUGCGUAGCCGACGUGAGAGGGUGGUCGGCCACACUGGAACUGAGACACGGUCCAGACUCCUACGGGAGGCAGCAGUAGGGAAUCUUCCGCAAUGGGCGAAAGCCUGACGGAGCAACGCCGCGUGAGUGAUGAAGGUCUUCGGAUCGUAAAACUCUGUUAUUAGGGAAGAACAAAUGUGUAAGUAACUAUGCACGUCUUGACGGUACCUAAUCAGAAAGCCACGGCUAACUACGUG